AAGAUUCCACUAAACAUGUGUCUGGGA
rnacentral:sRNA from 1 species